UGGGGGAUAUUGCACAAUGGGCGAAAGCCUGAUGCAGCGACGCCGCGUGGGGGAUGAAGGCUUUCGGGUUUUAAACCUCUUUCGUUAUCGAACAAGGCCCGCUUAGGGUGGGUUGAGGGUAGGUGGAGAAGAAGCGCCGGCUAACUCCGUCCCAGCAGCCGCGGUAUUACGUAGGGCGCGGGCGUUUUCCGGAAUUAUUGGGGGUAAGGGGGUUGUAGGCGGCUUGUUGCGCCUGCUGUGAAAACGCGGGGCUUAACUUCGCGCGUGCAGUGGGUACGGGCAGGCUUGAGUGUGGUAGGGGUGACUGGAAUUCCAGGUGUAGCGGUGGAAUGCGCAGAUAUCUGGAGGAACACCGAUGGCGAAGGCAGGUCACUGGGCCAUUACUGACGCUGAGGAGCGAAAGCAUGGGUAGCGAACAGG
rnacentral:rRNA from 1 species